rnacentral:rRNA from 1 species
AAAUUGAAGAGUUUGAUCAUGGCUCAGAUUGAACGCUGGCGGCAGGCCUAACACAUGCAAGUCGAGCGGAAACGAGUUAUCUGAACCUUCGGGGAACGGUAACGGCGUCGAGCGGCGGACGGGUGAGUAAUGCCUAGGAAAUUGCCCUGAUGUGGGGGAUAACCAUUGGAAACGAUGGCUAAUACCGCAUGA